UAUUAUCGACACCAAAGUGAACUUUGAUAGUCUUUAACUAUUAGUGCCAUCUUUUUGAAAACUAUUCAAAUAAUUUACACGUUAUUAUCAACAGUAAUUGAAUUUUGUCGAAUUGUUUAAUAUCGCCUUAAUAUUGUUAGCAUCUUUGAGAGAGAUGACAGUUUAGUUUAAUUUAUAGAAAAAAAUUUCUUGAUUUUAUUCAAAUCACAUACAAAUAAUAUACUUUAUUGCCAUUAACUAUAUAUAAAAAGUUUUAAUAUAUUUCAGAGAUGGUAGUAUUAGUCAAAGACCGUUAAUGAAGAUAAUUUUGCUGUUGGAUUCGAUCGCAAUGACUGGAAUAAUUUAAUCGACAACAAAGCUGAGACAACUCUUACGAAUGUUAGUUAACGAAAGAGAAGAGGAUUAGAGAUGAACACGGUACUUGCACCCAUCUAAACUGGUCUCUCUGUCCCCUGGGUACAAUAUAUCAAUUCUCUUCACCCCACCAAUGUUGCACGGUAGCAGGUGGCUCCUGACGGCCACGCUCGUUCGCACCCUUAAUUCCCAAUUAAUGUUAUACCCGUCGUAAACGUAUGCUUUACCUAUGUUGCAGAUUCUUUAAGCAUAAUUUUCCCAAAUUAAGGAUCGAUUAGGAGUGGCUCUCAGAGGUAACUGUCUAUCUUCACCGAAUUACGAGCUAUCGAGUUUCAAGAUUACCAAAUUUCACGGUCUAACGCCUCCAUCUGGAAUAGUAUAGGGUCUAUCAGGGGUGUAGAGUAAUUGAGGUAUCAUCCCUGUCCACGUCCUAAUUGGCGGAAAAUUGUUAGGGUGAAUGUCCAAGAAAUUCGAAAUUAAAUAUAUUUAAUAAC